AGUUUGCCCUGCUCAAUGAUUAUAAAUUAAAUAGCCGCAGUAUUUUGACUGUGCGAAGGUAGCAUAAUCAUUUGUCUUUUAAUUGAAGGCUGGAAUGAAUGGGUUAAUGAAAAAAAAUCUUUCUUUGUAUUAAUAAAUUGAAUUUAAUUUUUUGGUUAAAAAGCUAAAAUUUUUAAGUGGGACGAGAAGACCCUGUAGAAUUUAAUUUAUGUGGUUUAAUUAUUAUUUAUUGUUAUAAAGAUAUAUUAAUUUGUAUAAAUUUUGUUGGGGUGACAGGAAGAUUAAAUUAACUCUUUUAUAUAAUUUUAUAUUUAUUGAUAUUUUAAUGAUCCUUUAUUAUGGAUUUUUAGAUUAAAUUACCUCAGGGAUAACAGCGUAAUUUUUUUGGAGAGUUCUUAUCGAUAAAAGAGUUUGCGACCUCGAUGUUGGAUUAAAAUUAAUUUAGGUGUAGAAGCUUAAAUUUAGGUC
rnacentral:rRNA from 1 species